UACGAAGGGGGCGAGCGUUGUUCGGAAUUACUGGGCGUAAAGGGCGCGCAGGCGGCUCAGCCAGUCAGAUGUGAAAGCCCCGGGCUUAACCUGGGAACUGCAUUUGAUACUACUGAGCUUGAGUACGGGAGAGGAUAGUGGAAUUCCCAGUGUAGAGGUGAAAUUCGUAGAUAUUGGGAAGAACACCGGUAGCGAAGGCGGCUAUCUGGACCGUAACUGACGCUGAGGCGCGAAAGCGUGGGGAGCAAACAGG
rnacentral:rRNA from 1 species